rnacentral:sRNA from 1 species
GCGGCGGCGGCCGUUCAACAUGUGUUGUUUAACUUUGUGGCCA